rnacentral:lncRNA from 1 species
ACCCUGCUGAGAAAGCACCGCUGAGCGCCCCUGAACCCUACUCCCAUUGCUGGAUGCUGUCACCAGCGAUGAAAACACGCGAGCCUGCGUUCAUUUUACUCCAGCUGGAGUACAAAAGAACUGCCCACGCUAGCUCUCACUACGCGGCCUCGAACCCCCACCUCCUCCGGUGCUGAUCAGGACCCAGGAGUUUCCAGUCUCUAGGGUUGUCCUGGUUUGUGUUUGGAAUUGGAUCCAGUUGUAAGGAUUUACUCCGCUGUUUUUGCUACAAGAUUCAGCAGCUGUUCCGUGUGGGGGGGCCCGGUUCCUGCUGUUCCCAGGCACCUGCUGGCAGGACAAAGCACCUUUCCCCAGGUUCUGUUUCUCCAAUCUGUCCUUACACAAAUGUACCACCAAAUUCUCUUCAGCCUGGGAGUGUGGCGGGAAGAAGAGCUACUGGAUGCAUGGCUACAUUAGGGUGAGAAAAUCAGUUGAGUCAACUCUAAGACCACUGUGCCUUUCAAGAGGAAGAUCUUCAACUAAAUAUGAGGUUUUGAAUUUUUUUUGUAAUUGAAAUUGGGUUUACAUUGAGAGAAGAAAAUUUAUGAAAUGUAUGUCAUCAGCACAUUGAUUAUAAAUGUCUUUCCGUUGGGGAAAAAAUAACAUUGCAAUAAAGUUCAAGGGUAUAUC